UACGUUCCCGGGCCUUGUACACACCGCCCGUCACACCACGAGAGUUUGUAACACCCGAAGUCGGUGAGGUAACCUUUUUGGAGCCAGCCGCCUAAGGUGGGAUAGAUGAUUGGGGUGAAGUCGUAACAAGGUAGCCGUAUCGGAAGGUGCGGCUGGAUCACCUCCUUU
rnacentral:rRNA from 1 species